rnacentral:rRNA from 1 species
GAUGAACGCUGGCGGCGUGCUUAAUACAUGCAAGUAGAACGCUGAAGGAAGGAGCUUGCUCUUUCCGGAUGAGUUGCGAACGGGUGAGUAACGCGUAGGUAACCUGCCUGGUAGCGGGGGAUAACUAUUGGAAACGAUAGCUAAUACCGCAUAACAGUAGAUGUUGCAUGAUAUCUACUUAAAAGGUGCAAUUGCACCACUACCAGAUGGACCUGCGUUGUAUUAGCUAGUUGGUGAGGUAACGGCUCACCAAGGCGACGAUACAUAGCCGACCUGAGAGGGUGAUCGGCCACACUGGGACUGAGACACGGCCCAGACUCCUACGGGAGGCAGCAGUAGGGAAUCUUCGGCAAUGGACGGAAGUCUGACCGAGCAACGCCGCGUGAGUGAAGAAGGUUUUCGGAUCGUAAAGCUCUGUUGUAAGAGAAGAACGAGUGUGAGAGUGGAAAGUUCACACUGUGACGGUAUCUUACCAGAAAGGGACGGCUAACUACGUG